AUGACGUCUCCAGCCAAAUUCAAAAAGGAUAAGGAGUUCACCGCCGAGUAUGAUACUCAGGUCAAAGAUAUCAGGGCUCAGCUCACAGAGCAGAUGAAAUGCCUAGAUCAGCAAUGUGAGCUCCGGGUGCCGCUGUUGCAGGACCUGCAGGACUUCUUCCGCAAGAAGGCUGAGAUUGAAAUGGACUCCUCUCGAAACCUGGAGAAGCUAGCCAAGCGCUUUCUAGCCAAGACACGAGCACCAGGGACCAUCAAUUUAAGAAGGACCAGAAUGUUCUUUCUCCAGUCAACUGCUGGAACCUCCUCUUAAACCAAGUGAAGCGGGAGAGCUUCCUCGAUUCCUCGAUUUGUUCAAGUCAGCGAGGACUCAGGAAGACUCUUUAAAAAGAGUAAAGAAGUUGGCCAGCAGCUCCAAGAUGAUUUGAUGAAGGUCCUGAACGAGCUUUACUCGGUCAUGAAGACAUAUCACACGUACAAUGCUGACAGCAUCAGUGCUCAGAGCAAACUGAAGGAAGCAGAGAAGCAAGAAGAGAAGCAAAUUGGCAAAUCAGUAAAGCAAGAGAACCGGCAGACCCCUCACUCCCCUGACUCCAAAGCCAAUGUCCGCAUUGAGGAGAAGCAUGUCCAGAGGAGCUCAGUGAAGAAGACUGAGAUGAUGAAGGAGAAGCGACAAGCCAAGUACACAGAGAAUAAGCUGAAGGCCAUUAACACUCGGAAUGAGUAUUUAUUGGCUUUGGAGGCAACCGAUGCAUCUGUCUUCAAGUACUUUAUCCAUGACCUGUCUGAUAUUAUCGAUCAAUGUUGUGACCUAGGCUACCAUUCUAGCCUGAACCGGGCUCUACACACUUUCCUAUCUUCUGGAUUAAAUCUGGAACAGUCAAAACAUGAGGGUCUGGAUGCUAUCGAAAAUGCAGUAGAAAACCUAGAUGCCACCAGUGACAAGAACGGCUCAUGGAGAUGUACAACAAUGUUUUCUGCCCCCCCCCCCCUAUGAAAUUUGAAUUCCAGCCCCACAUGGGAGAUAUGGCCUCUCAACUCUGUGCCCAGCAGCCUGUCCAGAGUGAGCUGGUGCAGAGAUGCCAGCAGCUGCAGUCUCGCUUAUCUACUUUGAAGAUUGAGAAGGAAGAGGUGAAAAAAGACAAUGGAGGCCACCCUGCAGACCAUUCAAGACAUUGUGACUGUUGAGGAUUUUGUUGUAUCUGACUGCUUCCAGUAUAGCAAUUCCAUGGAGUCUGUCAAAUCAACCGUCUCUGAAACAUUCAUGAGCAAGCCCAGCAUUGCGAAGAGGAGAGAUAACCAGCAAGAGACGGAACAGUUUUAUUUCAUGAAAAUGAAGGACUACUUGGAGGGUAGGAACCUCAUCACUAAGUUACAAGCCAAGCAUGACCUCCUGCAGAAAACCCUGGGAGAAAGUCAGCGGACAGACUGUAGUCUUGCCAGGCGAAGCUCAACCGUGAGGAAACAGGAUUCCAGCUGAGCAAUUCCUCUGGUGGUAGAAAGCUGCCUCCGGUUUAUUUGCAGACAUGGCCUACAACAUGAGGGAAUUUUCCGGGUUUCUGGAUCACAAGGAGAAGUGAACGACAUAAAAAACGCCUUUGAGAGAGGAGAGGAUCCCCUGGCUGGGGACCAGAAUGACCACGACAUGGACUCUAUAGCUGGUGUCCUCAAGCUUUACUUCCGGGGCCUGGAACACCCGCUCUUCCCUAAAGACAUCUUCUAUGACUUGAUUGCCUGUGUCACAACGGACAACCUGCAAGAGAGAGCUGUGCGUAUCCAGAAAGUCCUUCUGGUCCUGCCCAAGCCCACUCUGACUAUCAUGAGAUAUCUCUUUGCCUUCCUCAAUCACCAUCAUGUUCAGUGAAGAGAACAUGAUGGACCCCUACAACCUUGCCAUCUGCUUCGGGCCCUCACUGAUGUCAGUGCCAGAGGGCCACGACCAGGUGUCCUGUCAAGCCCACGUGAAUGAGCUGAUCAAAGCCAUCAUCAUCCAACAUGAGAACAUUUUCCCAAACCCCAGGGAGCUGGAGGGUCCCAUCUACAGCAGAGGAGGAAGCAUGGAGGAUCACUGUGACAGCACUCAUGGGGAGACUACCUCUGCUGAAGACUCCACCCAGGACGUUACAGCGGAGCGCCACACAAGCGAUGAUGAAUGUGAGCCCAUAGAAGCCAUCGUAGACUGGACAGCCCGAGAACUGUCUUUCAAGAAGGGAGCAUCCCUGCUGCUCUACCAGCGAGCUUCUGAUGACUGGUGGGAGGGCCGGCACAACGGUAUAGAUGGACUCAUCCCCCAUCAGUACAUUGUAGUCCAAGACACCGAGGACGGUGUUGUGGAGAGGUCCAGCCCCAAGUCUGAGAUUGAGGUCAUGUCUGAGCCACCUGAAGAAAAGGUGACAGCCAGAAUGGGGGCCAGCUGUCCCAGUGGGGGUCAUAUAGCUGAUAUUUAUCUUGCAAACAUCAACAAGCAAAGGAAGCGUCCAGAAUCUAGGAGCAUCAGAAAAGCAUUUCGGAGUGACAGCCACGGGCUGGGCAGUUCUCUGACCGACUCCUCCGCCCUGGGGGUGGGGGCUAGCUGCCAUCCAUCCUCCCAGCAUAUCAUGAGCCAGAAUCUCCCCAAGGAAGGGCCAGAUAAGUGUUCCAUCAGCAGCCAUGGCAGCCUCAACUCUAUCAGCCGCCACUCGUCCUUGAAGAACCGGAUGGACAGUCCACAGAUCCAGAAGACUUCCAUGGCAGGAAGGUCAAAAAGUUUCAAUAACCAUCGACCCAUGGACCCUGAUGUCAUUGCACAGAAUAUUGAAGCAACAAUGAACUCUGCCCUGAAUGAGCUUCAAGAGCUAGAGCGGCAGAGCAGUGCUAAGCACACACCUGAUGUGGUUCUGGACACCUUGGAACCACUCAAGACCUCCCCAGUGGUAGCCCCCACAUCUGAGCCCUCCAGCCCUCUGCACACCCAGCUCCUCAAGGACCCUGAGCCUGCCUUCCAGCGCAGCACCAGUACUGCUGGGGACAUUGCCUGCGCCUUCCGGCCUGUAAAGUCUGUCAAGAUGGUUGCUCCAGUCAAACCACCAGCCACACGGCCCAAGCCAACUGUCUUCCCCAAAACAAACGCCACUAGCCCUGGUGUCAAUUCAUCUGCUUCCCCACAGGCCACAGACAAGUCUUGUACUGUCUAAGGGGUAUAACGUAAUUAUUCUAGACAAGGAGACUGGCCGUUUCUAAAAUCUUCCUAUUUAAGUAGCUUGGGGACUCAGUUGAAAAUUAGGUUCUAAGUUGUUCUUACAGGAAUUAGCCUUCCCAUUACCCAGCCUC